CCCUGCUGUACCGGAUGUUGAGAACCCUGAAUUCAAGAGGAAGUUAGACAGGAUGGUAGAUAUCAACCUGAAGAUCAUUUCUAUAGGAGAGUCCAACGACUUGCCCCUGGUGAAGAACCUGAAGAGGGUUCCUCUUAUUGCCCAACUAGUGUCUGAGAUCAUCGCUGCGUACCUCAUGCCCCCAAUCGAGUCUGGCUCCGUUGAUUUUGCCGAAUUUGAGCCCAAGCUUGUCUACUGAAUUUGUCGAAAAAGGAUUCAUCUCUGCCUAUCUUUACAAACAUAAUGAUGCAUCAUGCUCCUCGAGAGUCUCUAAAUGAGCACAGGGUCCAUGGUUAAUUAAC
rnacentral:lncRNA from 1 species